UACGUAGGGACCAAGCGUUGUUCGGAUUUACUGGGCGUAAAGGGCGCGUAGGCGGCUUGACAAGUCACUUGUGAAAUCUCCGGGCUUAACUCGGAACGGCCAAGUGAAACUGUCAUGCUAGAGUGCAGAAGGGGCAAUCGGAAUUCUUGGUGUAGCGGUGAAAUGCGUAGAUAUCAAGAGGAACACCUGAGGUGAAGACGGGUUGCUGGGCUGACACUGACGCUGAGGCGCGAAAGCCAGGGAGCAAACGGG
rnacentral:rRNA from 1 species